AAAUUUAGCAAGUGCAUAUAUGCGUAAAUGGUAGUUUAACGAGGUAGCUCAAUGUUGUCGCCAGGCUCUUGCACUGAAUCCACGUUUGGUUGAUGCACACAUUAAUCUUGGGAAUUUGAUGAAAGCUCAAGGAUUAGUUCAAGAGGAACGUUCUGAGCCUGAUGGCUUCAGCCAUGCCACAGGCUAUGACUGUAACUCCUGAGGAGCGGGCAGCCAUUGAACAUGUAUGUUUCUAAUUUUUGUUUAACCUCUGUGUAGUCCCUCUCUUGUUUGUGCUUUUAUCCAAGAGCCAAGAUGGCUACUCAAGAACAUUUAUUGCAUUUUUUUUUAUUCGUAAACAUAUAAUUUAGACGGUUGAAACCUUUACUGCACUGUUUUAUAGUUAAUUUUAUUAUAAUGUUUCAGUCAGUUCUAUGUAUCAACAACCAUUCAGAUCAAUCACAUUUUAGGACCAAAAUAAAUAAAUAAAUAGUCAAUUGAACAGAGGUAAAAACUCUAGUGAUGGUUAAAAAUAUAGAAGUGGUUGUUAGACAAAAUAAUGCGAAAGACUUGGCACUUGAUCAUGCUAUACAUCUGUUGCUCGCUGGUAUGUUUGCCAAGUGUUUGUGUAUUGGUUCUAGU